rnacentral:rRNA from 1 species
GUGGAUUAGAUACCCUAGUAGUCCACGCCGUAAACGAUGUCAACUAGCCGUAGGAAGCAUCUGGCUUUUUGUGGCGCAGCUAACGCGAUAAGUUGACCGCCUGGGGAGUACGGCCGCAAGGCUAAAACUCAAAUGAAUUGACGGGGGCCCGCACAAGCGGUGGAGCAUGUGGUUUAAUUCGAUGCAACGCGAAAAACCUUACCUGCCCUUGACAUGUCAGGAAUCUUCCAGAGAUGGGAGAGUGCCUUCGGGAGCCUGAACACAGGUGCUGCACGGUCGUCGUCAACU